rnacentral:rRNA from 1 species
UACGUAGGGGGCUAGCGUUGUCCGGAAUCAUUGGGCGUAAAGAGCGUGUAGGCGGCCCGGUAAGUCCGCUGUAAAAGUCAAAGGCUCAACCUUUGAAAUGUCAGUGGAUACUGCCGGGCUAGAGUCCGGAAGAGGCGAGUGGAACUCCUGGUGUAGCGGUGGAAUGCGCAGAUAUCAGGAGGAACACCGGUGGCGAAGGCGGAUCUCUGGGCCAUUACUGACGCUGAGGAGCGAAAAGCGUGGGGAGCGAACAGG